ACUAUGACCAGCUGUUGAAGAUAUCAGUGAGGCUGGGGAAAGAAGACAGACAGACAGAGGACGGAGCCUUGCUAGUGGGGAUCAUCGUUCUAAACCAGUCCAGUGAAAAUCAUGACCAGAACUUUCCCUGCCUACACUGAUCCCAUGAGAGAGGGCUGGCUGACGGCUGGCUGCUGUGACCGCCCAGAGUACAGGGCUGACUCACUGAAGGUGGCAUCCAGGGGAAACAGAAGACACAGAAGAGAAUGGCAUGUGGAAAUGGAGGCUGAGAUCGGAGUAAAGCUGCCACAAGCUUAAGAGUGUCGUGGUCACCAGAAGCUGCACGAGGCAAUGACGGACCCGCCCCAGAGCCUCUGGAGGGAGCACGGCCCUGCCGACGCCUUGAUUUCAGACUUCUCGCCUCCAGAACUGCAAGAGAAUACAUUUCUGCUGUUUUUAGCCACCCGGUUUUUGG